GACAGAGGUGCCAAGCGUUAGGCGGAAUCACUGGGCUUAAAGCGUGUGUAGGCGGGCCUGCAAGUGCCUUGUGAAAUCCCCGGCUCAACCGGGGAACUGCUGGGCAUACUGCGGGCCUUGAGCAACCCAGGGGCCAGCGGAACAAGCGGUGGAGCGGUGAAAUGCGUAGAUAUCGCUUGGAACGCCGAUGGUGAAAACAGCUGGCUGGGGGGUUUGCUGACGCUGAGACACGAAAGCCAGGGGGAGCGAACGGGG
rnacentral:rRNA from 1 species